rnacentral:rRNA from 1 species
UGCGAGUCGAGAGCUUUCGGAGCUCGGCAUACUGCUCAGUAACACGUGGGUAACCUGCCCUGUGCUGGGGGAUAACCUCGGGAAACUGAGAACAAUACCCCAUAGUCCACUACGCCUGGAACGGUGAGUGGAUGAAAGCCCCGGCGGCACAGGAUGGGCCUGCGGCGUAUCAGGUAGUAGGGGGUGUAAAGUACCCUCUAGCCUUCGACGCGUACGGGUUGUGAGAGCAAUAGCCCGGAGAUGGAUUCUGAGACACGAAUCCAGGUCCUACGGGACGCAGCAGUCGCGAAACCUUGACAAUGCGGGAAACCGUGAUCAGGGGACUCCAAGUGCCAGGAGUAAGAUCCUGUGCUUUUCUUUUCUCUUCAAAGGAUUUGGAAUAAGAGGUGGGUAAGGACGGUGCCAGCCGCCGCGGUAAUACCGGCGCCUCGAGUGGUAGUCGAUUUUAUUGGGCCUAAAACGUCCGUCGCCGGUCUGGUGCAUUCGUGGGUAAAUCAACCCGCUCAACGGGUUGAAUUCUGCGAGCACGGCCAGACUAGGGACCGGGAGAGGUGUGGGGUACGCUCGGGGUAGGGGUAAAAUCCUGUCAUCCCGAGCGGACCACCUGUUGCGAAGGCUCCACACUAGAACGGAUGCGACGGUCAGGGACGAAGCCUAGGGGCACGAACCGGAUUAGAUACCCGGGUAGUCCUAGGUGUAAACGCUGUGGACUUGGUGUUGGGAGCUCCCAGAGGGCCCUCAGUGCCGUAGCGAAGGUGAUAAGUCCACUGCCUGGGGAGUACGGUCGCAA